rnacentral:rRNA from 1 species
UACGACGGGAGCUAGCGUUGUUCGGAAUCACUGGGCGUACAGCGCACGUAGGCGGAUGUGUCAGUCAGGGGUGAAAUCCCGGAGCUCAACUUCGGAACUGCCUUUGAUACAGCACGUCUUGAGUCCGAUAGAGGUGGGUGGAAUUCCUAGUGUAGAGGUGAAAUUCGUAGAUAUUAGGAAGAACACCGGUGGCGAAGGCGGCCCACUGGAUCGGUACUGACGCUGAGGUGCGAAAGCGUGGGGAGCAAACAGG